CCUACGGGAGGCAGCAGUAGGGAAUCUUCCACAAUGGACGAAAGUCUGAUGGAGCAACGCCGCGUGAGUGAUGAAGGUUUUCGGAUCGUAAAACUCUGUUGUAAGGGAAGAACACGUACGAGAGGGAAUGCUCGUACCUUGACG
rnacentral:rRNA from 1 species